rnacentral:rRNA from 1 species
GAUGAACGCUGGCGGCGUGCCUAAUACAUGCAAGUAGAACGCUGAAGGAAGGAGCUUGCUCUUUCCGGAUGAGUUGCGAACGGGUGAGUAACGCGUAGGUAACCUGCCUGGUAGCGGGGGAUAACUAUUGGAAACGAUAGCUAAUACCGCAUAACAGUAGAUAUUGCAUGAUAUCUGCUUGAAAGGGGCAAUUGCUCCACUACCAGAUGGACCUGCGUUGUAUUAGCUAGUUGGUGAGGUAACGGCUCACCAAGGCGACGAUACAUAGCCGACCUGAGAGGGUGAUCGGCCACACUGGGGCUGAGACACGGCCCAGACUCCUACGGGAGGCAGCAGUAGGGAAUCUUCGGCAAUAGACGGAAGUCUGACCGAGCAACGCCGCGUGAGUGAAGAAGGUUUUCGGAUCGUAAAGCUCUGUUGUAAGAGAAGAACGAGUGUGAGAGUGGAAAGUUCACACUGUGACGGUAUCUUACCAGAAAGGGACGGCUAACUACGUG